rnacentral:rRNA from 1 species
CAGGGAUUGCCUCAGUAACGGCGAGUGAAGCGGCAACAGCUCAAAUUUGAAAUCUGACCCCUGCGGGGCCCGAGUUGUAAUUUGUAGAGGGUGUUUCGGGCGCGGCGCCGGUCUAAGUUCCUUGGAACAGGACGUCGCAGAGGGUGAGAAUCCCGUAUGUGACCGGUGAUCAAGCCCAUGUGAAGCCCCUUCGACGAGUCGAGUUGUUUGGGAAUGCAGCUCAAAAUGGGUGGUAAAUUCCAUCUAAAGCUAAAUAUUGGCCGGAGACCGAUAGCGGACAAGUAGAGUGAUCGAAAGAUGAAAAGCACUUUGGAAAGAGAGUUAAACAGUACGUGAAAUUGUUGAAAGGGAAGCGCUUGCAAUCAGACCGGUCCGGGGGUGAUCAGCCGCUGCUCGUCAGCUGGUGCACUCGCCCCCGAUCCGGCCAGCAUCGGUUUGGGCGGUGGGAUAAAAGCCCCGGGAAUGUAGCUUCUUUCGGGGAGUCUUAUAGCCCGGGGUGCAAUGCUGCCCGCCUGGACCGAGGACCGCGCUUCGGCUAGGAUGCUGGCGUAAUGGUUGCAAGCGACCCGUCUUGAAACACGGACCAAGGAGUCUAACAUCUAUGCGAGUGUUUGGGUGUCAAACCCAGGCGCGGAAUGAAAGUGAACGGAGGUGGGAGCCUGUCAAACGGUGCACCAUCGACCGAUCCAGAUGUCUUCGGAUGGAUUUGAGUAUGAGCAUAGCUGUUGGGACCCGAAAGGUGGUGAACUAUGCCCGGAUAGGGUGAAGCCAGAGGAAACUCUGGUGGAGGCUCGCAGCGGUUCUGACGUGCAAAUCGAUCGUCAAAUCUAGGCAUAGGGGCGAAAGACCAAUCGAACCAUCUAG